rnacentral:rRNA from 1 species
CCUACGUGAGGCAGCAGUGAGGAAUAUUGGUCAAUGGGCGAGAGCCUGAACCAGCCAAGUCGCGUGAAGGAUGAAGGAUCUAUGGUUUGUAAACUUCUUUUAUAUGGGAAUAAAGUGAGGAACGUGUUCCUUUUUGUAUGUACCAUAUGAAUAAGCAUCGGCUAACUCCGUGCCAGCAGCCGCGGUAAUACGGAGGAUGCGAGCGUUAUCCGGAUUUAUUGGGUUUAAAGGGUGCGUAGGUGGUUAAUUAAGUCAGCGGUGAAAGUUUGUGGCUCAACCAUAAAAUUGCCGUUGAAACUGGUUGACUUGAGUAUAUUUGAGGUAGGCGGAAUGCGUGGUGUAGCGGUGAAAUGCAUAGAUAUCACGCAGAACUCCGAUUGCGAAGGCAGCUUACCGGCGCCCAACUGACGCUGAAGCACGAAAGCGUGGGUUUCGAACAGGAUUAGAUACCCCUGUAGUC